rnacentral:pre_miRNA from 1 species
UGGUGAGCUAAUUUUCAUGACCAGGUCACUGCUUGCCUUUGCAGUACCAUUAUGGGUUACCGUGCCAGAUUGAGGGAAGGAAUGAAAAGGGUAAAGCAAAGGCAAGCAGCGACUCUGGUCAUGGAAUUGGAGCCA